rnacentral:rRNA from 1 species
AUGGAGGAGCAGCUGCUCCCAUCGGAUCUGGGGAAGGAGGACGCUCACCACCACCACGCUGCUCAACCUCACCGCCAUGAUUAUGUUGCCAAGGUGACCUCUUUCUCCCCCUCUUCCUCUGUUCGUCUCGAUUCUUGGCUCCCUUCCCUCCCUGAUGCGGUUGGUUUCCUCACACGAGCAGACCACCAUAUGGUGGAGUCCUCUUCCACUCCGACGACUCCCACUGGUGGCCUCGGUUCUGCUUCCUCCCUGACAUUAGGCGCGCAAAAUCUAUCAAGUUCAUGUACUCAAUUACAACUGUCAUGUCGUGACUGUGGUGUCUGGACUUCUUGCACAAGCGCAGCCUCUAACCUAGUGAGCUCCUUUCCCCAAUUAGUUUUACUAGUCGUCAACCCGUGCAUCUGCACGGGCUAG